rnacentral:rRNA from 1 species
AGUGAACGCUGGCGGUAGGCCUAACACAUGCAAGUCGAACGGCAGCACAGUAAGAGCUUGCUCUUACGGGUGGCGAGUGGCGGACGGGUGAGGAAUACAUCGGAAUCUACUUUUUCGUGGGGGAUAACGUAGGGAAACUUACGCUAAUACCGCAUACGACCUACGGGUGAAAGCAGGGGAUCUUCGGACCUUGCGCGAUUGAAUGAGCCGAUGUCGGAUUAGCUAGUUGGCGGGGUAAAGGCCCACCAAGGCGACGAUCCGUAGCUGGUCUGAGAGGAUGAUCAGCCACACGGGAACUGAGACACGGUCCAGACUCCUACGGGAGGCAGCAGUGGGGAAUAUUGGACAAUGGGCGCAAGCCUGAUCCAGCCAUACCGCGUGGGUGAAGAAGGCCUUCGGGUUGUAAAGCCCUCUUGUUGGGAAAGAAAAGCAGCAGGUUAAUACCCCGCUGUUCGGACGGUACCCAAAGAAUAAGCACCGGCUAACUUCGU